rnacentral:rRNA from 1 species
UACAGAGGUCUCAAGCGUUGUUCGGAUUCAUUGGGCGUAAAGGGAGCGUAGGUGGUGGGGCAAGUCAGGUGUGAAAUCUCGGGGCUCAACCCCGAAACUGCACUUGAUACUGCCUUGCUAGAGUACUGGAGAGGAGAUUGGAAUUUACGGUGUAGCAGUGAAAUGCGUAGAUAUCGUAAGGAAGACCAGUGGCGAAGGCGAAUCUCUGGACAGUUACUGACACUGAGGCUCGAAGGCCAGGGGAGCAAACGGG